UUUUUGAUGAUGUUAUGCCAGGCCUAUAGGAGCUGUUGUACACAUGCAAGGAAAUAAUCUCAAAAUAUGCUUGAGGAGUAUUGAUAGUGGCGUCGAUACCUCUGAAGUUGCAAAACAUAUGGUGGAGGGGGCUCUUCAAGAUCAAGCUCCUUUAUCAUAAGGAUGGAUGAGUAUAACCAGUGGCUUUCUGCGAUAUAAAGUUAUAAUGCUGAUUGGGAGAGUGAAAGUGAAGCCUAUACCAGCAGCAAAGAGGAGGCCCCACCAUGGCAUCUGAACCUGGUCAUUCAAAAAGAUGCAGAGUGCUAGGGAAACUACUAGGGUCACGCCAAGCAAGAAGUAAAACCACCAGGAAGGUAUGUCCUUGUAUCUCCUCAUUAGUUUUGUAUGGAUGUCCUCCUUGCCUUUGUAUGAAGCACGGUACCGCUGAUAGAUCUCCCUGUGCACUUUCUUGUUUUAUCAAAGUGUAUUCAUUUAAUAAAAUUCUUGUGAAUUAAUUUGGAUGGGA